rnacentral:lncRNA from 1 species
AUUUAAAGUAGGGAUUUAAAGGGUUAGUCAAGCUCAUCAAUCUCUAUGUAUGCAGCACUGCCUUUGAAGAAGUUUGCUUAAGUUAUUCUCAAUAGCAGAGAAAUAUAACUACUCUCCUGACUUGCUAUUAUCUCCGAUUUUGAAAGAAGCAUCCUGAUUUCCUGCAAUUGUAAUUUAAAGCCAGUUUAUUUAGCUUAUACUUGCUGCUGUUACAUCCUCAGUCACAAAGAUCUUAUCUGAUCACCUGGCAUUGAUGCAGAAUAUUGAGUUAUCAACCCAUUACCUGCUCCUGACUGAUCUCAGCCCUUUGCAACCAAAGAAGAGACAGUACAAAUACAGUAUUGGAAUAGAAGAUGUAAAACAUUUGCACCCCCAUGGUGGAAAGGAGAAAUCCACUACUGUAUCUGCAAGCCUCUUGCUUAACACCUGUUAUAGAAAGGCUGCUUGCCUACCUAGGAUUCCUGUUCGGAUGCUUCUGGCUGUGCUCCAAGACCAGGGGUUGAUGGAUGUCCUGAAUCUGCUUAGCAACCAUCUGUUUUGA